CUAUUUUUCCUUUUAAUUCUUCAAUUUUGUCUAAGCUCGCCCUUAAUUUAACCGUAGCAUUACGAUUACGGUACUGGUGAAGCGAUCUUUCUAGUUCAGUUAUCCGGACCUUCAACUCCGUCUUCUCAUCUUGGCAAACUAGUAGACUCUUUCUCAAGGCGACUUCUCGAGCCCGAGUAUCCUGAAAUUUCUUUUCCCAUUGAUUAGCUUUCGUCUUUUCCUCCUGAAUUUCUUGUCGCCAUUGUUCUGGCGUUUUACCCAAGCCAGCAGCUCUUACCGACCUACGCAACUUCUUGUAAUCUGUCUUCAGGCUGUCCAAAUCUUCUUCUGCUUUGUUCUUUCCUU
rnacentral:lncRNA from 1 species